CCUACGGGAGGCAGCAGUGGGGAAUAUUGGGCAAUGGGCGAAAGCCUGACCCAGCAAUGCCGCGUGAAUGAAGAAGGCUUUAGGAUUGUAAAAUUCUGUUCUAUGGGAAGAAAAAAAUGACGGUACCAUAGGAAUAAGCCACGGCUAACUACGUGCCAGCAGCCGCGGUAAUACGUAGGGGGCGAGCGUUGUCCGGAUUUACUGGGUGUAAAGAGAGCGUAGGCGGGACUGCAAGUCACAUGUGAAAAACCCGGGCUUAACUUAUGGGUUGCAUGGGAAACUGUAGAGCUUGAGUACAGGAGAGGCAGGCGGAAUUCCUAGUGUAGCGGUGAAAUGCGUAGAUAUAAGGAGGAACACCAGUGGCGAAGGCGGCUUGCUGGACUGUAACUGACGCUGAGGCGCGAAAGCGUGGGGAGCAAACAGGAUUAGAUACCCGUGUAGUC
rnacentral:rRNA from 1 species